rnacentral:rRNA from 1 species
AUGCAAUUCUUUCAAGAACUAUAUGAACACAGCUCCCCCCUUUCCAAUAUCAACACUGCACACAUCGUGCUGAUCCCAAAAAAGGAAAAUCCCACGGAUAUCAAAGAUUUCAGGCCCAUUUCCUUGGUUCAUAGCCUACCCAAGCUGGCUUCUAAGGUGCUUGCUACGAGGCUUCAGCGACAAAUACCGAAUCUGGUGCACCCACUACAGUCUGGCUUCCUUCCGGGCAGAAGCAUUCUUGAGAAUUAUGUGUUGGCAGCUGAGUUAGUACAGCAAGCAAAGAAAAGGAAGAAGCCGAUGUUUGUUUUGAAGCCAGAUUUUCAGAAAGCCUUCGACAGUGUCAGUUGGGUGGCCCUUCGACAGAUACUUGCAGCAAGGGGAUUCGGUAAUAGAUGGAUCAGGUGGAUCUCUGAAUUCCUGGAAUCCAGCUCCUCCAGGGUUAUGAUCAAUGGACACCUUGGGAACAAAAUCCUGUCCAAUAGUGGGCUGCGACAAGGAGAUGCCAUGUCCCCUUAUCUGUUUAUACUGGUGGCAGAUGUUCUACAGCAGCUUUGCAACCAAGAGUAUAGGGCAGGAAAUCUCAAACACCCUCUUGGUGUGGCUGAGCUGUUCCCUAUCCUACAGUAUGCGGACGACAAGAUCUUAUUGAUCCAGGGAGAUGUCCAGCAGGUGCGAAGGGUGAGGCAAAUACUUGAUGCUUUCUCUGGUUUCACGGGGCUGAAGAUCAACUACCACAAAAGCACUCUCAUACCGAUCUGCAUACCCCAAGAAACCUGCCAACAGGCUGCCUAG